GCGUCGGCGGUGCAACCGUUAAGCACACGCUCCCGAGAAGAGUGAGAUCUGGGUUCGAAUCCCGGCUGAGGCG